UGUAUAGCAAUAGCUACUUGCAUCAUUGUAAAUAUGAUGCAAGAUCGACUAUGUCGAAUAAAAUUCUAGGUAGAAUUAUGAUAAUGACAUUGUCUGCCUAUGUGUCUUGACCAAAUUACGUGCCAGCAGUCGCGGUAAUACGUAGAAGACUAGUGUUAUUCAUGUUUAAUCGGUUUAAAGGGUACCUAGACGGUAAAUCAAGCCUAAAAGGAAAUAAAUGAAGGGACUAAUUUACUAGAGUUACUUAUGAGGGGGUAUUAAAGUACUGCUGGUGUNGAGAUGAAAUUCUGUCAUACCUCUUUUCAAUAGAAAAUUAAUGGCACAGGUAUAGGCGAAAGCAUCCCCUUAUGUGAUAACUGACGUUGAGGGACGAAGGCUUUGUGUAGCGAACAGGAUUANNNACCCCAGUANUCAAAGCAGAAAAUGAUGAAUGUCAUAGAUUAGAUAUNNNNNUUNAUUCUAUAAAUGAAAGUGUAAGCAUUCCACCUCAAGAGUAAUUUGGCAACAUUGGAACUGAAAUCAUUAGACCGUUUCUGAAACCAGUAGUGAAGUAUGUUGUUUAAUUUGAUGAUCCGCAAAAAACCUUACCACAAUUUGAAUAUUUAUAUCUUUUAUUGUUUUUCUUUUUAACUUNNNNNNAAUUUUCUACUUAAAAGAAAAAAAUAACAAGAAAAAAGAGACAAUAAGAUAUAUUUACAAGCGUUGCACGGCUGUCUUCAGUUAAUGUCGCGAGACUAUGGUUAGUUCCAUUAAAUUAACGUAAACCCUUACUUUAUUUUUAUAUAGAGUAGUUCCCCGCUAUAUUGGAUAUGAUAACAGG
rnacentral:rRNA from 1 species